CCUACGGGAGGCAGCAGUGAGGAAUUUUCUGCAAUGGGCGAAAGCCUGACAGAGCAAUACCGCGUGAGGGAUGAAGGCCUACGGGUUGUAAACCUCUUUUCUCAAGGAGGAAGAACUGACGUUACUUGAGGAAUAAGCAUCGGCUAACCCUGUGCCAGUAGCCGCGGUAAUACAGGGGAUGCAAGUGUUAUCCGGAAUUAUUGGGCGUAAAGCGUCUGCAGGUUGAUAUUUAAGUCUUUUGUUAAACCUCCAGGCUUAACCUGGAAUCUGCAAAAGAAACUAUUUAUCUUGAGUAUGGUAGAGGUAAAGGGAAUUUCCAGUGGAGCGGUGAAAUGCGUAGAUAUUGGAAAGAACACCGACAGCGAAGGCACUUUACUGGGCCAUUACUGACACUCAGAGACGAAAGCUAGGGGAGCAAACAGGAUUAGAUACCCUGGUAGUCCUAGCUGUAAACGAUGGAUACUAGAUGUUGUUUAUUUUUAAAUAAGUCAGUGUCGUAGCUAACGCGUUAAGUAUCCCGCCUGGGAAGUAUGCUCGCAAGAGUGAAACUCAAAGGAAUUGACGG
rnacentral:rRNA from 1 species